UCUGGAAACUGGUACAAAAUUUUGUUGACCUCCUCCUUUGUUGUAAUAGGCUUUCUUCUUCAUCUCCGGUGAGGUCAGAUCUUCUCUUCAGGACGUGCCAUCUUCACUGUUGGUUGCAGAUCUUGUGCUUUCUUCUUCCUCUCCAGUGAGGUCGGGUCUUCUCUUCAGCCACAGCCUUCUUACCGCCCAAGGAGGUCCCAUCUUCACUGUUAGUUGCAGAUCUUGUGCCGUUCGUUUGGAAAAAACUUCGGUCUCCUCCUCCUUUGUUGUAUUAAGCUUUCUUCUUCCUCUCCGGUGAGGUCGGAUCUUCUCUUCAGGUUGCCUCUGCUCUGCCCCCUUUUUUUUGGCUAAAGUUCGUAUUUCUUUUGUCCCU